rnacentral:sRNA from 1 species
UAAUGAUCCCAAAAGCCGUGGUUCACAUCUCAUGUAUUUUAAUUGCCUAAAAAGGCACUACAUCUGGAACUGUAGUAACUAACCAAAUUUAUGUUUCUUAAUUCAGUUGAUUACUCUGAAAUCUUACUAUAUUGGAAUCAAUGUAUGAUCCUAGAAAAUGAAGACAAUUGUGAAUAUAACAUGACUAACUUAAUUCUGGUAUGGUUUGGCUUAUUGGCCUCUACUUUCAUUGUUGAUUUCAUUCUCUCAUUGAAUUAACGUUGCAGAAGAGAGGGUGGAGUGUUACAUGUCCAUGGGAAUACAAAAGACUCAGAGGAGAGUCAGUGGAUUGCUCAUGUAGCAAAAUCAAUAAAUGACAUCGCUAGAUCGGAAGGUUGCUGCUGGGAGAUUUCUAUAGAACAUGUUGAGAGGGUAAAAUGGUAUGCUCCACAUAUUCGUCACGUUGUGGUGGAUGUAAGAUGCAGACAAAUCCAAAGAUAGUGAAUGAGCUGGUAUUAGAUUGCCGAGUCUGGAUUGCUGAAGUUCAGAAACUAUUCGUUCGGACUGGCACAUAUUGUACGUGGAAGAGGUUGCAGAGUGGAUUAUAGUUAUUGAAUUUAGUAGUGACAACCUCUGCAUACUUUUUAUGCAUCAUGUUUUGGAGAUAAUUUUAUGCUUUCAAAAUUGGAGAGGAACGCUUCAUAUUAUAUUUAUAACAUGAAGCUAACUCAAUUGUUUGUAUUAAUUAGUUUGGGCUACAAUGAAAGCCCAUAAUGAUAGUUGCUUCUUUUUUUUAUUCUACACAGGUAUUUUAUAUAAUCUCAUUGUUAUUGUUGUACUGUAUUAAAUGAAGCUAUCUAGGCAUAUUUUUAAUUGUAACCCAAAAUGUAAUAAUCACAAUUCUCCUUGAUGGAAUACAGGUGGGAAGUGGAAAUCCCGAAACUUAGUUUAAGGCCGAACGUUAA